CCCUGCGCAGCCUGCUCGGCCGCGGGCCGCGGGGCCCCCCGGCCGGGCGCCCCUGCUCCCAUCCCAGCGGUGGGCCCGGCCCCUCUGGCCUGCGCGGAGCCCCGGUGUGCGGGGAAGUCCGUCCCACAGUCUAAUCGCGGUGCCUUCCAGCUGCGCCACAGAGGCGGGGUCGGAGUAGGAGGCGGCCCGAGGUCGGAGCUGGGCGCGCCCACUCCCCCACCGGCGGCGGAAAGGCCUCCACCUGCUGCCCUGAGCCAGCCCACGCCGAGACCGAACCCUCGUACCCCAGCCUCGCUCAGCGCCCCCCACCCUCUGGCCCGGGCUGCUCUGACCUGAGGGAGCGAGUGCUAUGUGCCCAGCGAACCACUGUUAGGGAGGAUGUGCGGAGGCUGUACGUGGUUUCACAGGUAAACGUGCUGUCCCUCGGCAGCAACUCCCAAAUAAGAUGGGACAUAUUCCUUCCUUAGCAAAGAGGUCUGUAUGCAAGUCACCUCAGCUGAAUGACAACAACAAAGUCUGGAGGAAAUCCGAAGUUUGCAGAGGAAGAAAGAUCAAGCAUCAUCAAUGCUUCUCUGGGUGGCUCCCCAUCCCUGUUCAUACCUGGACCGACUGUGGGGAUCAUACGAGCUGCUCCUGGAUCUGCUCCUGCUGGAUGUCCUAAUAUGAAUCACAUGAGGGACUAUCAUCUUGUAGGUCAGGAUAGGCCAUAUCAAAAAUCUAGACAUUUCUUAACCAUCAAGGAAAAAACACCAUGAAAUCCAGUAGCUGUAUCUACUUCAUUUAUCAAAAGAACACUGGAUUUUUUUAAAAAAAGCAUGUUGGAUUUCAUUAGAAAGAUUACCUGAGAGGCGAAAGAGGGUUUGAUGAAGCUGGGAGAACAUGGGUCCCACAUGCUCCACCCUGUGGCCUCUUAUUAACAAAUCAAUCCUCUUAUCCCAGUCCUAAACCCAAGCCAAGAGGUGACUGCAGAUGUGAACUGAGGUCAAAGAAGAUAUACUGGAGGGAGGGGGAGAUGGUGGGCAGAGCUUUUUUUUUUAAAAAGAUUUUUUAUUUAUUUAUUCAUGAGAGACAGAGAGAGGGGCAGAGACACAGGCAGAGGGAGAAGCAGGCUGCAUGCAGGAAGCCCGAUGUGGGACUCGAUCCCGGGAUUCCAGGAUCACGCCCUAGGCCAAAGGUAGGCCUAAACUGCUAAGCCACCCGGGGAUCCCUGGGCAGGGCCUCUUAAAGAUUUCUACUGCUUCUUUCCUCACUCUGAGAAAAGCCAGUGAGAAUCUGACAGUUCCUAGAAAGAAACAACUAGACAAGACAAUAGGCCUGUCUGGUAUUCAGUGAUGGUAGGAUUCUUUUCAUUGGCUCCCACCACUCUGCCUGUGCAGCCCUUGAAAAGCAGACAAAAUAAAUAAAUAAAAUAAAAAAUAAAAAUAAAUAAAAGAAAAAAGAAAAGCAGACAGGAUGCAGACCACAUGGUAGGGUCGGUUCCCCACACUCACCUAUGACUUUUGUAACUGCGGUAGGAACUGCUCCGGCUUCUUGUGCGGCCUCUGCUGUACCAUCCUCUGCUCCGACUUCUAGAAUAGCUUCUUGAUCUACAAUGAAGAGUGAAAAAAUAUAUUAACUCACCAUGCUGUUCAAACAAUUACUAGUAGGAUAGGAAGGGGAGAAUACAACCAAAGGAAAGGCCAUUCACAAACACUUCAUACUAGGUUUGACAAUGACAGCUUAUGAGGGUUUAAACUGAAUGGAAUGGAAUGUGGGCAGCCCAGGUGGCUCAGUAGUUUAGCGCCGCCUUCAGCCCAGGACGUGAUCCUGGAGACCUGGGAUCAAGUCCCACAUCGGGCUCCCUGUGUGGGGCCUGCUUCUCCCUCUACCUUGUGUCUCUGCCUCUCUCUGUGUCUCUCAUGAAUAAGUAAAAUCUUUAAAAAAUAAACAAACUGAAUGGAAUGCAAUAAACCAGAAAAGGCUGGUAAAGGUAUGUUCACUGGAGCUUUAUCUGGAAGACCAGAAGAAGAAACAAUCUCCAUUAAUGAUAGAAUUGGGGGGGCCCACAAAUAUACAGUAAAAUAUUCUCAAGUAGGAAAAUGAAUGAAGUACAUCAACACAGACGUCGCCUGGACAUAAUGCUGAGUGAAAAAUGCACAGACAGAACGCGUAUGUAGGUAUGUACGCAAGUAUGUAGGUAUAUAUCUGUAAAGAUUUUGUUUGAAGACAUGCAAAAACAUUGUAUACAGAUAGAAGUAUCUGUGCCAAAUCUAAAGAACAACAACAAAACUACAACAAAAGUUUAGAAUAAUGUUUAAUUCUAGGAGAGAAGAAAGUAGGGUGGCACUGGGUAGGGAUAUAUCAGGUAUGUCAAAGCUCUGUUUUUUAAAAACUAGAUGACAUAAUGUGAAAUAUUAUUUAUACCUAAUCAUUUAAAAAAUCUACUUAAUAUUUAAUAAAACAAGUAGUGCAAUUCCA